GGGGACUGUGUAACAACUCACCUGCCG
rnacentral:misc_RNA from 1 species